GAUGAACGCUGGCGGCGUGCCUAAUACAUGCAAGUCGAGCGAAUGGAUUAAGAGCUUGCUCUUAUGAAGUUAGCGGCGGACGGGUGAGUAACACGUGGGUAACCUGCCCAUAAGACUGGGAUAACUCCGGGAAACCGGGGCUAAUACCGGAUAACAUUUUGAACCGCAUGGUUCGAAAUUGAAAGGCGGCUUCGGCUGUCACUUAUGGAUGGACCCGCGUCGCAUUAGCUAGUUGGUGAGGUAACGGCUCACCAAGGCAACGAUGCGUAGCCGACCGGAGAGGGGGAUCGGCCACACUGGGACUGAGACACGGCCCAGACUCCUACGGGAGGCAGCAGUAGGGAAUCUUCCGCAAUGGACGAAAGUCUGACGGAGCAACGCCGCGUGAGUGAUGAAGGCUUUCGGGUCGUAAAACUCUGUUGUAGGGAAGAACAAGUGCUAGUUGAAUAAGCUGACACCUUGACGGUACCUAACCAGAAAGCCACGGCUAACUACGUGCCAGCCGCCGCAGUAA
rnacentral:rRNA from 1 species